UAGGGAAUAUUGGACAAUGGGGGAAACCCUGAUCCAGCAAGCCGCGUGAGUGAAGAAGGCCUUAGGGUUGUAAAGCUCUUUCGCCCGCGAAGAUAAUGACGGUAGCGGGAGAAGAAGCCCCGGCUAACUCCGUGCCAGCAGCCGCGGUAAUACGGAGGGGGCUAGCGUUGUUCGGAAUUACUGGGCGUAAAGCGUACGUAGGCGGAUGCGCAAGUUGCGGGUGAAAUCCCGGGGCUUAACCUCGGAAUUGCCCUCAAAACUGCACGUCUUGAGACCGAGAGAGGUAAGGGGAAUUCCUAGUGUAGAGGUAAAAUUCGUAGAUAUUAGGAAGAACACCAGUGGCGAAGGCGCCUUACUGGCUCGGUACUGACGCUGAGGUACGAAAGCGUGGGGAGCAAACA
rnacentral:rRNA from 1 species